rnacentral:tRNA from 1 species
GCCUGGGUGGCUCAGUCGGUUAAGCGUCUGACUUUGGCUCAGGUCAUGAUCUCAUGGUCCGUGAGUUCGAGCCCCACGUCGGGCU